UCGAGAAUAUUCCUCAAUGGACGAAAGUCUGAAGGAGCGACGCCGCGUGCAGGAUGAAGGCCUUCGGGUUGUAAACUGCUUUUCUCUGUGAGCAAUUUGUGAGAGUAGCAGAGGAAUAAGAGGUUACUAACUCUGUGCCAGCAGUAGCGGUAAUACAGAGACCUCAAGCGUUAUCCGGAUUUAUUGGGCGUAAAGAGCAUGUAGGCUGAUAUAUUAGUCAGACGUCAAAUCCUCGAGCUUAACUCGAGAACUGCGUUUGAAACGGUAUAUCUGGAGUCAGUGAGAGACCAGUGGAACAUAUGGUGUAGCAGUGAAAUGCGUUGAUAUCAUAUGGAACACCAAAGGCGAAGGCAUCUGGUUGGCACUGUACUGACGCUGAGAUGCGAAAGCGUGGGUAGCG
rnacentral:rRNA from 1 species